rfam:Taenia asiatica genome assembly, scaffold: TASK_contig0000315
UAAGGGAUGUGGGCAAAUUGGAUUUAUAACCUCGGGAAAAGGAUUGGCUCUUAGGACUGUCAGACAUGCUAGAGAAAGAAACGAGCUCGCUCAGCUUGCGGCUGGCUGGCUGGUUGGCUAGGUAGUCGAUUGUACCUGCGCUGCGCGCGGUUAUUUGGCUGAUUAGCUGGCUGGCUGACUGAAUCCGGUGGCUGGCGGUGAGCAGAGUGAAUCGUGGGCAGAUCCAGCUACACGCACGCCUCGGUAGGAUGGCGGGCUAGCGAGUGAAUGAUCAGUUGGGUGGCUGGUUGGUUGCCUGCAUGCCUACUUACCCAUUCGUCCACCCUCCCUCGCGCUUCCAUUGUCGUAGAGUGCUUGUCUGACGCCAAACAGCUGACUCAGAACUGGCACGGACCUGAGGAAUCCAACUGUUUAAUUAAAAUAAAAUAUUGCGAUGCCUAUUGAUCAGUUUUGAUGCAAUGUUAUUUCUGCUUAGUGCUCCGAAAGUCAAAGUGAAGAAAUUUAAUCAAGCCUGGUUAAACAGCGGGAGUAACUAUGACUCUCUUAAGAUAGCCAAACCCUCGUGCUUUCUUUCACUUUUGUUGCCUUUUUAACGUCUCCUAAUGCCGAUAUUAAGCCUUUUGGAAAUCAUUCAGCUGUCGCAUCUGCGCAUGCAGAAUUAAUUUGGCCCUUAGACUGCUUA